GCGUAAGAGCUCGUAGGCGGUUUGUCGCGUCUGCCGUGAAAGUCCGGGGCUCUACUCCGGAUCUGCGGUGGGUACGGGCAGACUAGAGUGAUCUAGGGGAGACUGGAAUUCCUGGUGUAGCGGUGAAAUGCGCAGAUAUCAGGAGGAACACCGAUGGCGAAGGCAGGUCUCUGGGCAUUAACUGACGCUGAGGAGCGAAAGCAUGGGGAGCGAACAGGAUUAGAUACCCUGGUAGUCCAUGCCGUAAACGUUGGGCACUAGGUGUGGGGGACAUUCCACGUUUUCCGCGCCGUAGCUAACGCAUUAAGUGCCCCGCCUGGGGAGUACGGCCGCAAGGCUAAAACUCAAAGGAAUUGACGGGGGCCCGCACAAGCGGCGGAGCAUGCGGAUUAAUUCGAUGCAACGCGAAGAACCUUACCAAGGCUUGACAUGGACCGGACCGCCGCAGAAAUGUGGUUUCCCCUUUGGGGCUGGUUUACAGGUGGUGCAUGGUUGUCGUCAGCUCGUGUCGUGAGAUGUUGGGUUAAGUCCCGCAACGAGCGCAACCCUCGUUCUAUGUUGCCAGCACGUGAUGGUGGGGACUCAUAGGAGACUGCCGGG
rnacentral:rRNA from 1 species